GACGAACCGUGCGAACGUUGUUCGGAUUCACUGGGCUUAAAGGGCGCGUAGGCGGCUUGCCAAGUCAGGGGUGAAAUCUUUCGGCUCAACCGGAAAGAUGCCGCUUUGAUACUGGCGAGCUAGAGGGAGGUAGGGUGCGUGGAACUUCUGGUGGAGCGGUGAAAUGCGUAGAUAUCAGAAGGAACGCCGGUGGCGAAAGCGACGCACUGGAUCUCUACUGACGCUGAGGCGCGAAAGCUAGGGAGCGAACGGG
rnacentral:rRNA from 1 species